UGGUCCAAAAAUACAAUUGGUGUGUGGCGUCUACCACAAAAUUAAUAGCGAUGUAUGAAGCUGAUGAGGCGCUUUACAAUGUGAGGCACCCUGAAUGUAAAAAUAGAUUACGAAGAUUGGAGAGCUACAAAAAUAUUAUUAGCCGUGACAUACGGCAUGGGUGCACGGCUGACGACGUUAAAAAGAAAGUUAAUGGCCUCCGCACAAGUUACUCCUACGAGAAAGCAAAAAUGGAUAAAAGCAAAAGUGGAGCCAGUGCACAGGUGGCGUCCACUCUGCAAGUGUACUGCUUCCACAUGCUAAAGUUCCUCGACCAGGCCACAGAGGCGGACGAGAGUGUCUAAUAUCGAGAGCACAGAAAGUGGAAGUGAACGAGGUACAUCAACAUUCGAAGAAAUGUUUGAGCAUGAAAUGCAGGCUCAACAAGAACCUUCUGUCACAUGCAAUGAGCCACAGCCACAGCAUCAAGAGCGGCCUUCCACAAAAAGAAGGAAAGGCACAACAGAUGUUGCAACAGACGUCAUUGUGGAGGCCAUCAGGACACUGAAGGCUAUGGCUGAUAUGGCCAGGACUCUGCCCCAACCUGUCCAAGAAGACCGCUACAGUGCCCGUGCCAUCCACAUCACAGCUGAACUGCGUGAGAUGGAUAAUGUGAGUGGUAAGGAAUUUACUACGAGCACAAUACAUGCUUUGCAGCGAUAUUUGAUGGACAGAUGAGAUUUGCUGCAUGCGACAACUCAACAAGCACAACCGUCCGCCUCUGGAUAUAUCCAGGUUGCCUUGCCGCAGGCUGGUAUAGAAGUUUUUUUUUAGCUCUCCAGUCUUCUUAAUCUAUUUUUGUACUCAGGAUGCCUCAUGUUGUAAAACACCUAAUCAGCUUCAUACAUCUCUAUUCAUUUUGUAGUUUCGGACACCAA